rnacentral:rRNA from 1 species
AUGUUACCACCAGAGUUAGGAUCUCUUGUUCUUCUCUCAUAUCUGGAUCUAAGUAGAAAUCAAUUUUCAGGAAGCAUUCCACCUCAGAUAGGACAAUGUCAGUUUUUAUCGUCGUUACUCGUGUCAGACAACUUAUUGACAGGACAGAUACCACAAGAAAUUGGAUAUCUUGCCAACUUAUAUGAGCUCGAUUUGAGUAAAAACAAUUUAAGCAGUGCCAUCCCAGUGACUUUCUCUUAUUUUUACCAACUGUUGGAACUGAAUUUAUCAUAUAAUAAUUUGGAUGGCAGUGUUCCAUUUAUCGCUGCUGCCAUGAUCUCACUUGACCAUAAUACGUACUUAUGCGGCAAUUUGUAUGGCUUAACUCCAUGUGAUACACCGAAGCUCGACGUGGAUCACCAAAAUAGGAAACAUCCAAGUAUGGUACUUCUUGCUCUUUUUGCACCCUUUUCCUUUGCUUGCCUCUCAAUAGUAAGCAUCAUGGUCGUCUGUUGGAGAAGAAAGUAUGUAAAAAGCACAACCAAAAGCAAGUCUGGAGAUAUACUUUCCAUAUGGAAUUUUGAUGGGAAGAUCGCGUUCGAAGACAUCCUCAGCGCAACAGAAAAUUUCGAUGAGAAAUAUUGCAUUGGUGUUGGAGGAUACGGAUCUGUCUUCAGAGUUCAUCUUGAAGGCGGGAUUACCUUUGCCGUCAAGCUCCUUCACUCAGUGGAAGAAUACAGCGACGAGGGAACAUUUCACGCCGAGAUUGAAGUGUUGACAAAAAACAGGCACCGAUGCAUCGUUAAGCUGUAUGGCUUCUGUUCCCACUCCCAGUGCAAAUUCCUCGUGUAUGAUCUUAUCGAGAGGGGAAGCUUGUCAUCCAUUAUGCACGAGCAAGGGCUUGCGAAGAAGCUGGAUUGGCCCAGGAGAGUUGCUGUUGUGACAGACGUAGCUCAAGCUCUCUCCUACUUGCACCAUGACUGCGGCGAUCCAAUCGUGCACCGCGACAUAAAAAGCAGCAACAUUCUUCUGGACAUCGAUUAUAAGGCUUAUGUUUCGGACUUCGGCAUGGCGAGGAAACUGAAGCAUGGCUACUCAAGCUGGAGCACUAUUUUUGCAGGCACAUGUGGCUACAUAGCUCCUGAGCUGUCAUCUACCAUGGUUUUGACUGAGAAGUGCGACGUGUACAGCUUUGGUGUGGUUGCGCUGGAAGUUUUAAUGGGAAAGCACCCAGGCGAUCUCCUCCUUCCGUUCUUUUGCCGAACAGAGCAGCAAGGGAAGUUCAAGGAUACCCUGGAUCGACGCGUCGCAGCACCGUCCACCGUCGAGGAGGAGAAGGAUGUCAUUUUGGUUGCCUUGGUGGCCUUUGCUUGCCUGCAAGUCAACCCCAAAGCUCGGCCAACAAUGCAGCAGGUAUAUCACCCACUAACAAAUAGAAACCACCCAGGGCUCAUGCUCAGACCCCUUCCUGAAAUCAGUCUUCAAGGGUUGCAUGAGUAUUGUGGCACCAUAAAGAAUAUAUGA